GACGAACGCUGGCGGCGUGCUUAACACAUGCCAGUCGAACGGAAAGGCCUCUUUCGGGGGGUACUCGAGUGGCGAACGGGUGAGUAACACGUGAGUAACCUGCCCUUGACUUUGGGAUAACUUCAGGAAACUGGGGCUAAUACCGGAUAGGAGCUCCUGCUGCAUGGUGGGGGUUGGAAAGUUUCGGCGGUUGGGGAUGGACUCGCGGCUCAUCAGCUUGUUGGUGGGGUAGUGGCUUACCAAGGCUUUGACGGGUAGCCGGCCUGAGAGGGUGACCGGCCACAUUGGGACUGAGAUACGGCCCAGACUCCUACGGGAGGCAGCAGUGGGGAAUAUUGCACAAUGGGUGGAAGCCUGAUGCAGCAACGCCGUGUGCGGGAUGACGGCCUUCGGGUUGUAAACCGCUUUCGCUCAUGACGAAGCUUUGUGUGACGGUAGUGGGUAAAGAAGCACCGGCUAACUACGUG
rnacentral:rRNA from 1 species